rnacentral:rRNA from 1 species
UCGCCUGUUUUUUCAAAAACAUGUCUGUUUGGAGUUAUAAAAAGUUUAACCUGCCCACUGAUUGGAACAAAAUUAAAUGGCCGCGGUAUAUUGACCGUGCAAAGGUAGCAUAAUCGUUAGUUUUUUAAUUGGAAUCUUGUAUGAAUGGUUGGACAAAAGAAAAUCUGUCUUUAUAUUAUUAAUUGAAUUUAACUUUUAAGUGAAAAGGCUUAAAUGGAUUAAAGUGACGAUAAGACCCUAUAAAGCUUUAUAUAGAUAUAUUAUUUAAUUAAAUUUUUAAUAAAAAUUUAGUAGUAAAAUUUAUUUUAUUGGGGCGAUAAGAGUAAAAUUUUUAUUAACUGCUUUAAGUUUUGAAUACAUUUAUGUUUGAUUAAAAUUUUAAAUGAUCCUAAAUAAAGAUUAAAAGUUUAAGUUACUUUAGGGAUAACAGCGUUAUUUUUUUUGAGAGUACUUAUCGAAAAAAAAGUUUGCGACCUCGAUGUUGAAUUAAAAUUUCUUUAUAAUUGCAGAAGUUAUAAAAGUAGGUCCGGUCGCCCUUUA